rnacentral:misc_RNA from 1 species
UACCCUUCAACAUUAAACAUCUCAAAAGAGAUCAAAUAUGGUUCAACACCAUUGUCUCACACAUAGUCAACAAAAAGCAUAACAUUUGAAGUCUUAGGACAUACUAAAGCUGCAAAACAGGAAAUUUAGAUGCCUAAGCAUUUUAAGGCCAGACAUUAACAGAGAAACCAACAGCAAGAUGAAAGACCAAUCAACUAUCUUCCACUUGAUGAAGGCCACUGCAUCAGGAUCUACUUAGAUCGCUGCCUCAUCUUUCGG